AGAGUUUGAUCAUGGCUCAGGAUGAACGUUGGCGGCGUGCUUAAUACAUGCAAGUCGAACGAGGAGCCUGGUACUUGUAUCGGGAAUUCCUAGUGGCGAACGGGUGAGUAACGCGUUGGUGAUCUGCCCCGAAGUGAGGAACAACAGUUCGAAAGGACUGCUAAUACCUCAUGUGGUCAUGGAAUUUAGAAACCCAUGUCUAAAGGAUUUAUUCGCUUCGGGAGGAGCCUGCGUCCCAUCAGCUAGUUGGUAAGGUAACGGCCUACCAAGGCGAUGACGGGUAGGGGGCCUGAGAGGGUGGCCCCCCACAAUGGUACUGAAACACGGACCAUACACCUACGGGUGGCAGCAGUAGGGAAUAUUGCCCAAUGGACGAAAGUCUGAGGCAGCAACGCCGCGUGCACGAUGAAGGCCUUCGGGUUGUAAAGUGCUUUUACGUGGGAAGAGGAAGGACGGUACCACGUGAAUAAGGAUCGGCCAACUACGUGCCAGCAGCCGCGGUAACACGUAGGAUUCGAACGUUAUCCGGAUUUAUUGGGCGUAAAGCGCGUGUAGGCGGUUUGGUAAGUUGGAUGUGAAAGCUCCAGGCUCAACCUGGAGAGGUCGUCCAAAACUGCCAGACUAGAGGACGGUAGAGGGAGGUGGAAUUCCAGGUGUAGCGGUGAAAUGCGUAGAUACCUGGAGGAACACCAGUGGCGAAGGCGGCCUCCUGGGCCGUUCCUGACGCUCAGACGCGAAAGCUAGGGGAGCGAACGGGAUUAGAAACCCCGGUAGUCCUAGCCGUAAACGAUGUAGACUUGGUGUUGGUGGUGUAAAAGUCAUCAGUGCCGUAGCUAACGCGAUAAGUCUACCGCCUGGGGAUUACGACCGCAAGGUUAAAACUCAAAGGAAUUGACGG
rnacentral:rRNA from 1 species